AUGGCGGGGAGGUUUUGGGAGGGACAGAGUGAGGAAUCGGAUGAGGAAGAGGGGGAAUUGAGGAAGGGUGAGGUGGCGAUUCUGGAGAAGAGGCGCGGCGCUCCGGUGAGGGUGAGACUGCCUUUUGUGCCGCCGGUUCCGAUCACGGGGGUGAGAUGGCGCCAUCGGGUCAAGCAAUGGGCGCCAGGGGCGGUGAUCUCGUCACCACGGCCGCGUCCACAACCAUUCAGGUCAGGGGCGCGCUACAGAGAACCAUCAAUUCCUAAUCCGCCAACACUUGCGGGUUUUAUUUUGCAGGGAUUUCUGCAGCGAGAUUCCGCCAUUGAUGACGUCACAGGUGAAGCGGGGGACGAGUUUUUUUCGAAAGCUACUGGGCCUAGUGCUAUUUCUUCCCACUGGGCCUCGAGGGAAGCCAAACCCAAGCCACUGGGCUCGAUACAGUCGAUACUUCAAGGGUUGUGGCUGCCUAGGGUUAGGGGAAGCAUCCCGAAAGAUGCAACAGGUCGGGAGAGAGCGGCGGCAAGCACUGAAGCACAACAGAUGGCGAGCGGGGGGAGAGGGGACUGGCGUGAGCGCCGGGAUGGCUUCGGUGAAGGGCGAUCCAACUGGAGGGGGCGUGACCGGGCAUGGGGCGAGAAGCGGGGCGGCCAAUUUGGCCCGCCGACCAACUACGCCCCACAUGCGCCGCCGCCAGGAUCCGCACCACCGCCGGGGAAUGGUGCGCCUCCGUCAGGCUUCCCUGGUGGAUCUUCAGGCUUCAACACGUACCCGCAGUUUGUGCCGUAUCAGUUCCCGAGGGCGCCGCCUCCCCAAGGUAUGUUCAUGCCCAGCUCGCAGCAGUGGAGUGGUACUAGAACAGAGCAGGAAAAAUUUAGGAAGAAAGGGAAUGGACAUAGAGAAGUGAUGCCGCAGAAUAUGGGAUCGUUUGAGGGAGAUAGGAAUGCUGGAAAGUUGGCGCAGAAAGAAGCAGAUCAGAAAACUAGCAGCGUUGGCUCGGAUGGGAGUACUCGGGCAGGAAAAAGCGACGCCAAACCCACUGAACAAGCUGAAUCAAAGGGACAGGAAUGCUUUAGAUGUGGAGGGACCGAUCAUCUGGUUAGAGACUGUAAAGCACAAUUAACCUGCAUCAAUUGUGGAUUCAAUCAUUUGUCUGAAAGAUGUGUAAUGCUGAAUAGACCACACCCUGUUCUAAACAUGGCUGGUUGUGGAGCGGAUGGUUUGCAAAUGAUGAUUUCCCAAACAGGGAAGAAGAGAAAGUUUGAUAAAAGUGCUCAGAAUGUAGGAUUGGUGCAGAUUCUGAAAGGGAGCAUAAACUGCAGUGCGCUCGUUGUUGCCUUUGGAGCUCAGUUUCCUUGGGGAGGGGAGUGGAAAAUCAAGGAGUACGGUGAUAAUACUUAUCUUGCCAAAUUUCCUUCAGCUGCUAGAUUGCAAGAGAUGAUAGAAUACCCUAAGUUUGGCCUGAAAGGUACAAAAGUGACUGUGAAAGUAAGCAAAUGGAAUUCUGCCUCUGCUGCUAGAUUCAAGCUGUCUUCAGUUUGGGUGAGGAUUUUUGGUAUCCCUGAUACUUUGUUACACAAAGAUGGUUUUGAGGAAAUUGCCUCGUUCCUGGGAACUGUCCAGGAUGUGGAUAUGCAAGCUUACAGAGAUACUGAUAUUGUCAGGGCGAAAGUUGGAGUGAAAGACCCAAGCAAAAUACCUGAGGUGGUGGAACUAACUGUAGACCCAUACAUAUAUUACAUCUUUUUUGAGGUGGAGGAGAUUGUAGAACGUGGAUGGUGUGCUUAUUGCAGAAGAAGACGAUGA
rnacentral:rRNA from 1 species